rnacentral:rRNA from 1 species
UCAGUCGACUCCUACGGGAGGCAGCAGUGGGGAAUAUUGGACAAGUGGCGAAAGCCUGAUCCAGCAAUGCCGCGUGAGUGAUGAAGGCCUUAGGGGUUGUAAAGCUCUUUUACCCGGGAAGAUAAUGACUGUACCGGAGAAUAAGCCCCCGGCUAACUCCGUGCCAGCAGCCGCGGUAAUACGGAGGGGGGCUAGCGUUGUUCGGAAUUACUGGGCGUAAAGCGCACGUAGGCGGCUUUGUAAGUCAGAGGUGAAAGCCUGGAGCUCAACUCCAGAACUGCCUUUGAGACUGCAUCGCUUGAAUCCAGGAGAGGUGAGUGGAAUUCCGAGUGUAGAGGUGAAAAUUCGUAGAUAUUCGGAAGAACACCAGUGGCGAAGGCGGCUCACUGGACUGGUAUUGACGCUGAGGUGACGAAAGCGUGGGGAGCAAACAGGAUUAGAUACCCUGGUAG